rnacentral:rRNA from 1 species
CAGGCCUAACACAUGCAAGUCGAACGGUGGUAGCAAUACCAUAGUGGCGCACGGGUGCGUAACGCGUAACCAACCUACCUGGAUCUGGGGGAUAGCCCGCCGAAAGGCGGAUUAAUACCGCAUAAGCCAGCGAGCCGGCAUCGGCUUGUUGGUAAAGAUUCAUCGGAUUCAGAUGGGGUUGCGUAGCAUUAGCUAGUUGGCGGGGUAACGGCCCACCAAGGCGACGAUGCUUAGGGGACCUGAGAGGGUGAUCCCCCACACUGGCACUGAGAUACGGGCCAGACUCCUACGGGAGGCAGCAGUAGGGAAUAUUGGGCAAUGGGCGAGAGCCUGACCCAGCCAUGCCGCGUGCCGGAUGAAGGCCUUCUGGGUUGUAAACGGCUUUUCUCAGGGAAGAAAAAGACCUUGCGAGGUACACUGACGGUACCUGAGGAAUAAGCACCGGCUAACUCCGUGCCAGCAGCCGCGGUAAU